rnacentral:rRNA from 1 species
AUACGGAGGGGGCUAGCGUUGUUCGGAAUUACUGGGCGUAAAGCGCACGUAGGCGGACCAGAAAGUUAGGGGUGAAAUCCCGGGGCUCAACCUCGGAACUGCCUCUAAAACUCCUGGUCUUGAGUUCGAGAGAGGUGAGUGGAAUUCCGAGUGUAGAGGUGAAAUUCGUAGAUAUUCGGAGGAACACCAGUGGCGAAGGCGGCUCACUGGCUCGAUACUGACGCUGAGGUGACGAAAGCGUGGGGAGC